AACGAACGCUGGCGGCAGGCUUAACACAUGCAAGUCGAGCGCCCCGCAAGGGGAGCGGCAGACGGGUGAGUAACGCGUGGGAACGUACCCUUUUUUUCGGAUAACCUCGGGGAAACGGAAAUUAUAACGAAUUGGGCCCUUUGGGGAAAGAUUUAUCGGAUAAGGAUCGGCCCGCGUUGGAUUUGCUAGUUGGUGGGGUAAAGGCCUACCAAGGCGACGAUCCAUAGCUGGUCUGAGAGGAUGAUCAGCCACAUUGGGACUGAGACACGGCCCAAACUCCUACGGGAGGCAGCAGUGGGGAAUAUUGGACAAUGGGCGCAAGCCUGAUCCAGCCAUGCCGCGUGAGUGAUGAAGGCCUUAGGGUUGUAAAGCUCUUUCACCGGAGAAGAUAAUGACGGUAUCCGGAGAAGAAGCCCCGGCUAACUUCGUG
rnacentral:rRNA from 1 species